rnacentral:misc_RNA from 1 species
UAACACUGACGCUCAUGCACGAAAGCGUGGGGAGCAAACAGGAUUAGAUACCCUGGUAGUCCACGCCCUAAACGAUGUCAACUAGCUGUUGGGGCCUUCGGGCCUUGGUAGCGCAGCUAACGCGUGAAGUUGACCGCCUGGGGAGUACGGUCGCAAGAUUAAAACUCAAAGGAAUUGACGGGGACCCGCACAAGCGGUGGAUGAUGUGGAUUAAUUCGAUGCAACGCGAAACCUACCUACCCUUGACAUGUCUGGAAUCCCGAAGAGAUUUGGGAGUGCUCGCAAGAGAACCGGAACACAGGUGCUGCAUGGCUGUCGUCAGCUCGUGUCGAGAUGUUGGGUUAAGUCCCGCAACGAGCGCAACCCUUGUCAUUAGUUGCUACGAAAGGGCACUCUAAUGAGACUGCCGGUGACAAACCGGAGGGAAGGUGUGGGGAUGACGUCAAGUCCUCAUGGCCCUUAUGGGUAGGGCUUCACACGUCAUACAAUGGUCGGGACAGAGGGUCGCCAACCCGCGAGGGGGAGCCAAUCCCAGAAACCCGAUCGUAGUCCGGAUCGCAGUCUGCAACUCGACUGCGUGAAGUCGGAAUCGCUAGUAAUCGCGGAUCAGCAUGUCGCGGUGAAUACGUUCCCGUCUUGGCCACACCGCCCGUCACACCAUGGGAGUGGGUUUUACCAGAAGUAGUUAGCCUAACCGUAAGGAGGGCGAUUACCACGGUAGAUCUUGCGACUGGGGUGUAGUCGUAACAAGGUAG